UACAGAGGGGGCAAGCGUUGUUCGGAAUUACUGGGCGUAAAGGGCGCGUAGGCGGCCUGUUAAGUCGAACGUGAAAUCCCCGGGCUCAACCCGGGAACUGCGUCCGAUACUGGCAGGCUUGAAUCCGGGAGAGGAGAGUGGAAUUCCUGGUGUAGCGGUGAAAUGCGUAGAUAUCAGGAGGAACACCGGUGGUGUAGACGGCUCUCUGGACCGUAACUGACGCUGAGGCACGAAAGCGUGGGUAGCAAACAGG
rnacentral:rRNA from 1 species